GUUUGACGUUAGCUGCAGAAGAAGCACCGGCUAACUCCGUGCCAGCAGCCGCGGUAAUACGGAGGGUGCGAGCGUUAAUCGGAAUUACUGGGCGUAAAGCGCAUGCAGGUGGUUUGUUAAGUCAGAUGUGAAAGCCCGGGGCUCAACCUCGGAAUUGCAUUUGAAACUGGCAGACUAGAGUACUGUAGAGGGGGGUAGAAUUUCAGGUGUAGCGGUGAAAUGCGUAGAGAUCUGAAGGAAUACCGGUGGCGAAGGCGGCCCCCUGGACAGAUACUGACACUCAGAUGCGAAAGCGUGGGGAGCAAACAGGAUUAGAUACCCUGGUAGUCCACGCCGUAAACGAUGUCUACUUGGAGGUUGUGGGCCUUGAGCCGUGGCUUUCGGAGCUAACGCGUUAAGUAGACCGCCUGGGGAGUACGGUCGCAAGAUUAAAACUCAAAUGAAUUGACGGGGGCCCGCACAAGCGGUGGAGCAUGUGGUUUAAUUCGAUGCAACGCGAAGAACCUUACCUACUCUUGACAUCCAGAGAACUUUCCAGA
rnacentral:rRNA from 1 species